rnacentral:rRNA from 1 species
UACGUAGGGUGCGAGCGUUAAUCGGAAUUACUGGGCGUAAAGCGUGCGCAGGCGGUGAUGUAAGACAGAUGUGAAAUCCCCGGGCUCAACCUGGGAACUGCAUUUGUGACUGCAUCGCUGGAGUGCGGCAGAGGGGGAUGGAAUUCCGCGUGUAGCAGUGAAAUGCGCAGAUAUGCGGAGGAACACCGAUGGCGAAGGCAUCCCCUGGGCCUGCACUGACGCUCAUGCACGAAAGCGUGGGGAGCAAACAGG